rnacentral:lncRNA from 1 species
AUGAUGACUACCAGAAGACAUGAACAAAGGGUAAGUGGCAUUAUACCUCUGAAGAACCUUUAUGUUAUAUUGAUCCAUACACAGAAGGCAAACCAGUUUGUGAGACUACUGGAGAAAGAGCAAUCUUCUACAAGAAAGGGUAGGUGGCAGCUGUACUUGGUAGCAGUAACUUUGUUUUAACAGCUGAAUGAGAUCUUGGUUCAUCAACAGAGCAAGAGGAAAAUCUCCCCAAGAGCAUAUGGUAUGAGUUUAAAAUUGUGGGUGUCUUAGAGCUCUUUGGAGAAUUGCUCUAACCUCCCAAAAAGAUGAACUCCCUGCAGUGGGUGUUCCAGUGUGCCACCUGCCUUCCCACAGCAUCGCCUAACACUUUUUGAACAGCUCAGCUCCCAUGUACAGCAGUAGGAAUGGCUACACUUACUUCUUGACUAAAAGCUGCCUGAGGACAGGGAGAAUCAGAUAGACCUGACUGUUUUGACUGAUAUAUAGAUUCUGAAGGAAUAGGUUGAUGGCUGACUACCAUCAGGGGAGACAUUGUCU